rnacentral:misc_RNA from 1 species
GCACCACCACAUCUGUC